CAGUCGCCGCGGUAAUACGUAGGUGGCAAGCGUUGUCCGGAAUUAUUGGGCGUAAAGCGAGCGCAGGCGGUUAGAUAAGUCUGAAGUUAAAGGCUGUGGCUUAACCAUAGUACGCUUUGGAAACUGUUUAACUUGAGUGCAAGAGGGGAGAGUGGAAUUCCAUGUGUAGCGGUGAAAUGCGUAGAUAUAUGGAGGAACACCAGUGGCGAAGGCGACUCUCUGGUCUGUAACUGACGCUGAGGAGCGAAAGCGUGGGGAGCGAACAGGAUUAGAUACCCCUGUAGUCCCUGUCUCUUAUACA
rnacentral:rRNA from 1 species